CCCCCAAGCAAGCAACUCUCAAUGACCAGCAGUUGGUGAUCCUGCUCAACUAUUGGUUGGCGCCAUAGUGGGCCCCUUCCCCAAAUGAGCAACUGUCAAGGAGACACUGUUUGUGGCCCAUUCAGCCAGCUCUCAGAGGAGUGGUGGUUGCCAGGCAGAUAAUGAGGAAAUUCCAAAGGUUUAGGGGCUCUGUGCCAGAAACCAGGAUGAAGACCAAAUAUAUAUACUUCUUAUUAUGAAUCACAACACCACGUGGUGGUGUAAGCUGGGGCAGCUAUUUUGACCCUUGAGGUGAUCUUGGAAUGGAAGAAACUAAGAGACAGCCAACAAGAAAAAAGGAGACUGAAUUUUUGAGGCUGCUUUGGAGCAGCGUUGCCAUCAUGAACUUAGGUUGUGAAGCUCCCUAGGAAAGAACACUUUGCUCUUGUUUAAGUCACUGUUGUUUUACACUUCUGUUAAACUUCUAGCAACACCCCUUCAAAAGAGGACAUGUCAUUAGCAUGCACCUUUCUGCUCUUCUUUACUUUUGCUUCCUGCCUGGGAUGUGGACGCCAGAGCCAAAGCAUUGGCGACUGUUUUAGCCAACCUUGAAGAUGAUAAAUAGAAAGAGAUGGGGGUGCCUGAAAUGACUGGAUCUGCCUUCCCAGCUCUGGACUUAUUUUCUAAUACAAACUUCUCUCUUGCUGGA